rnacentral:rRNA from 1 species
CCUACGGGAGGCAGCAGUGGGGGAUUUUGCGCAAUGCUCGUAAGAGUGACGCAGCGACGCCGCGUGAAUGACGAAGGCCUUCGGGUCGUAAAGUUCUUUCGACAGGGAAGAAAAUGCCUAUAAGUAACUGUGUAUGUAUUGACGGUACCUGUAUAAGCAGCGCCGGCUAACUACGUGCCAGCAGCCGCGGUAAUACGGAGGGGGGGAGCGUUGUCCGGAGUGACUGGGAGUAAAGGGCACGUAGGCGGUGUUGUAAGUCAUUAGUCAAAGACUAGAGCUCAACUUUAGUAAGGCUAGUGAUACUAUAAUACGAGAGUAUCGGAGAGGAUGGCAGAAUUCCUGGUGUAGCGGUGAAAUGCGUAGAUAUCAGGAGGAAUACCGGUAGCGAAGGCGGCAAUCUGGCUGGAAACUGACGCUGAGGUGCGAAAGCGUGGGUAGCAAACAGGAUUAGAUACCCGGGUAGUC